GAUGAACGCUGGCGGCGUGCUUAACACAUGCAAGUCGAACGGAAAGGCCCAAGCUUGCUUGGGUGCUCGAGUGGCGAACGGGUGAGUAACACGUGGGUGAUCUGCCCUGCACUUUGGGAUAAGCCUGGGAAACUGGGUCUAAUACCGGAUAGGACCAUCGUUUAGUGUCGGUGGUGGAAAGUUUUUCGGUGUGGGAUGAGCUCGCGGCCUAUCAGCUUGUUGGUGGGGUAAUGGCCUACCAAGGCGUCGACGGGUAGCCGGCCUGAGAGGGUGUACGGCCACAUUGGGACUGAGAUACGGCCCAGACUCCUACGGGAGGCAGCAGUGGGGAAGAUUGCACAAUGGGCGCAAGCCUGAUGCAGCGACGCCGCGUGGGGGAUGACGGCCUUCGGGUUGGAAACUCCUUUCGCCAAGGACGAAGCGUUUUGUGACGGUACUUGGAGAAGAAGCACCGGCUAACUACGUG
rnacentral:rRNA from 1 species